GACGAACGCUGGCGGCGUGCUUAACACAUGCAAGUCGAACGGAAAGGCCCUGCUUUUGUGGGGUGCUCGAGUGGCGAACGGGUGAGUAACACGUGAGUAACCUGCCCUUGACUUUGGGAUAACUUCAGGAAACUGGGGCUAAUACCGGAUAGGAGCUCCUGCUGCAUGGUGGGGGUUGGAAAGUUUCGGCGGUUGGGGAUGGACUCGCGGCUUAUCAGCUUGUUGGUGGGGUAGUGGCUUACCAAGGCUUUGACGGGUAGCCGGCCUGAGAGGGUGACCGGCCCCAUUGGGACUGAGAGACCCCCCAGACCCCCACGGGGGGGAGGAGGGGGGAAUAUUGCACAAAGGGGGGGAGCCUUAGACAGCACCGCCCCGUGCGGGAGAAGGGGCCUUGGGUUGUAAACCCCUUUCGCCUGUGACAAAGCGGGAGUGACGGUAAUGGGUAAAAAAACACCGGCGAACUCCGUG
rnacentral:rRNA from 1 species